rnacentral:rRNA from 1 species
UACGUAGGGGGCAAGCGUUGUCCGGAAUCAUUGGGCGUAAAGAGCGUGUAGGCGGCCAGAUAAGUCCGCUGUGAAAACUCGAGGCUCAACUUCGAGCUGUCGGUGGAAACUAUUUGGCUAGAGUCCGGAAGAGGAGAGUGGAAUUCCUGGUGUAGCGGUGAAAUGCGCAGAUAUCAGGAAGAACACCCGUGGCGAAGGCGGCAUCCUGGACCAAUUCUGACGCUGAGGAGCGAAAGCCAGGGGAGCAAACGGG